GCCGGUAUAGCACAAUGGUAGUGCACUUGAUUUGUAAUCAAGGUGUUAGGGGUUCGAGUCCCUUUACCGGCU
rnacentral:tRNA from 1 species